AAGCGGAAUGCGAACCUUUUCAAUAAAUCAUUAGGGUUUGUGCAUGUUCAUUUAAUGCACAUGCAUAGCAUAAAUUUGUUGGUAAGGUUUGAUGGUUUCGAUCUCUAAAAGGACCUUCAUGUGGUAUCAGAGCUGAUCCAUUCAAACCUACUUUGUCCUUGGAUAAUUUUUAAUAAAAAUAAAUAAAAAACAAUGGAAGAAUAAUUAACCAUGGUAUUUAGUCGUGGACGAUAACCACAAGGAGACCAUGCAUGCAUGCAUUUCCUUCUUAUUUUGCUUCACUCUCUUCGAAUACCACAUGCUGGCAUUUUUU
rnacentral:lncRNA from 1 species